CAAAAUGGCAGCCAGAAAACGUGGCGAUGCUGAUAGUGAGAAAGGAAACCUCGUAGAUCCAUAUGGCUCAUGCGCGCAAUUCAAUUAAAAAAUGUUUGUUAUAAUAUGGUCCCUUCUAAUUUAGUGGAAGCCUGCUUUAAACAGUACAAAAGACAUUACAAGAAAAUCGUUUGGACAAAGAACAUCACUGUUAUGGCGAAUGAAAGUGUCCCGCAGACUGUCCAGGAGACAGUGGAGGAGAUGAUUCCAGUCUCAGGAUCCGCUGAUGGAAUGAAUUCUCUAGGUCUUGUGGCGUUCUCAUUGCUCUUUGGAUGGAUAAUUGGGAAACUGAAGCAGCAGGGCCAGCCACUGAAGGAUUUUUUUUUAACUCCCCCAAUGAUGUCAUGAUGCUCAUAGUAGCAAUCAUUAUGUGUUCUGCUACCCUUCCCAUCACCUUCCAUUGCCCGGAGGAGAACAACCACAUGGACAAACAUGUAAAAUGCCUUGUCUUGCCAGUGGGAGCCACCACAAACAUGGAUGGUACAGCUCUGUAUGAAGCAGUGGCUGCCAUUUUCAUAGCCCAAGUUAAUGACGUGGCCCUGAACUUUGGACAAAUCCUCACCAUCGGGUAACACUAACCAAGAAUUAAACAUAACAGAAAAAACUAUAACACAAAAAUGCUUAGUCUAGAUCUGUUUCUUACUGUUAAAAUGGAUGCAUUGGAGCAGCAGUGGUCACCUCAAACUGGUCUUGUAACUAUGGUGAUGGUAUUGACGUCUGUAGGACUGCCCACCGAAGACAUAUCACUCAUCGUUGCUGUGGAUUGGAUCCUGUAAGUCUUUACUAAAUGUCACAUUUGCCACAUCUCCAGCAGAGAGCACUCUUGCAAAAGGUUACUAAUACAUAAUGCAGGCAUAGUGUAAGAGAAUACACUCUGAAAUGUCCUAAUAGCAAUGCUGUUGUAUUGUGGUGUUCCACAAUGCCAGCUCCAAUUGAGUCUCCUAACACAUUAUUGGAGCCGGCAUUAUGGAACACCCGUCAAGAAAGGAACUGCAGAACACUGAUCCUGGAACCAGCAGCUCUGUGACUGAGGUCAACUGCCAGGAGGACGAUUGUCUCGGUCAUCAAAAGAGUAAAAAAGCAGUCUAAUAACCAUCAGAAUAUACAGCGGUAUUGCUUUGACUUUACAAGAGUGGUAUGUGUUUGAUAUUUUUGUUCAUUUGUGACAGUUGAAUAAAGAGGAACUGUGUGGCUGA